rnacentral:lncRNA from 1 species
CUCCAAUCCUGGAAAGGUUAGUGACAAGAAUACCUGAAGGAAUAUUUUCACAAUUAUCGUUAUACGCUCAAUGCACAAGGCAAUAUGGCAAGGUCAUGUUACAAUCUAAUAAGCGCUUAUUUUAGGACACUAAGCUUGUCCUUAGGAAACCAUCGAUUUAUGUUGGCGAAGUGGUUUCUCUUCCAACGCUGACCUAUAUCAAGAUCAACUCAACGAGAUCUGCAAUAUUUAUUAUAGACAUAUGCAUCGACAACCGCCCUUUUAAAGUUUUUAUAAAUAGAAAGG